rnacentral:tRNA from 1 species
GCCUGGGUGGCUCAGUCAGUUGGGCCUCUGACUUCAGCUCAGGUCACCAUCUCUCAGUUCAUGGGUUCGAGCCCCACAUCGGGCU